rnacentral:rRNA from 1 species
AUUGAACGCUGGCGGCAUGCCUUACACAUGCAAGUCGAACGGUAACAGGUUAAGCUGACGAGUGGCGAACGGGUGAGUAAUGUAUCGGAACGUGCCCAGUCGUGGGGGAUAACUACUCGAAAGAGUGGCUAAUACCGCAUACGACCUGAGGGUGAAAGCGGGGGACCGUAAGGCCUCGCGCGAUUGGAGCGGCCGAUAUCAGAUUAGAUAGUUGGGGGGGUAAAAGCCCACCAAGGCGACGAUCUGUAGCUGGUCUGAGAGGACGACCAGCCACACUGGGACUGAGACACGGCCCAGACUCCUACGGGAGGCAGCAGUGGGGAAUUUUGGACAAUGGACGCAAGUCUGAUCCAGCCAUGCCGCGUGCGGGAAGAAGGCCUUCGGGUUGUAAACCGCUUUUGUCAGGGAAGAAACGAGUUUCUCUAAUACAGAGACUUAAUGACGGUACCUGAAGAAUAAGCACCGGCUAACUACGUGCCAGCCGCCGCGGUAAUAC